rnacentral:rRNA from 1 species
UACGGGGGGGGCAAGCGUUGUUCGGAAUUCCUGGGCGUAAAGGGCUCGUAGGUGGCCAACUAAGUCAGACGUGAAAUCCCUCGGCUUAACCGGGGAACUGCGUCUGAUACUGGAUGGCUUGAGUUUGGGAGAGGGAUGCGGAAUUCCAGGUGUAGCGGUGAAAUGCGUAGAUAUCUGGAGGAACACCGGUGGCGAAGGCGGCAUCCUGGACCAACACUGACACUGAGGAGCGAAAGCCAGGGGAGCAAACGGG